AAGUGAUCCACCUGCUUUGGCCUCCCAAAAUGCUGGGAUUACAGGUGUGAGCCUCUGUGCCUGGCCAGGCAUGUAUCUGCUUUAUUAUCAAAAUGAAUGACAUUAAAAAAUCAUGAAAAAUGCUUCUGUGUGUAAUAAGCUUUAUAGGAUCUGGAUCAUUUAGUGUGAUUAAUAUGGAAGCUUGGAACUAGAAGUGUGCAGAAAGCUGAAAGCUUCAUUUUUUUCAAACAAUACUUCAAAAAUUUGGUAUAAACUCUGAUUUUUAGGGAAUGCGAAUUAGAUUAUCUUAAUGGUCAGUUUAUGUGAUAGUGUUUAAUUAUAAUCAGUCAUGAAAGUGCACAGCAACUAAUGUUGGAAGGAUUUGUAAGAAUCCUGAGAUCAGCUCAAUCCUAAAGAUUCAAGAAGCAUCUAUUUCAAAAUUAUUUGAAAAGGGAAAAACAUUGUUUAUUUAGAAAAAAAUAGCACAUGUGAUACUAUGUUUGUGGUGUAUUUGUAGAGAUAAAGAAUUUACUGUCCUUUAAAAGAAUCUCAUUAAGGGUUCUAGGUAUCCGGGACUUUUUUUUUUUUUUUUUUUUUUGUAAUUAGGGUCAGGCUGAAUAAAAAACACAUUUGUAAAUAUGUUGAUGUAUUAGUUUUCUCUCAUUGCUGUGACAUAUUACCACAGUUAGUAGUUUAAAAUAGCAUCUAUCUUACCAUUUUGAAGCUCAAGUCCAAAAUGUGUCCCACUGGGGCAAGGCUGUGUUCCCCUGGAUGCUCUAGAAAAGCAUGUAGACCUCUGUUCUUCCAUUCACUUGGACUUUUACUGUUUGGCAAAGCUGUAGUAUAUUUUAUAAGCAGAAAAAUUAGAUGCUAUAGAAUCAAGGUCAUAGAGAUUAUUUAGUCUUAUCCAUUUAUUUCAUAAAGAUACUGAGGCCUAGAAAGGUAAAGUCACAUAGUCACUCUAGCAGUACAGAGUAAUUAAAAAUCGGAACAACUGACUCCCAAGUCAUUGUUUUUACUGCCACCAUAGAUUUAUACUGGGUUUCUCCUUUAAGGUAAAGAAGAACCUAUUUAGCACUGUUCUCUGUUUUCUGUCUGUUACCAAAAGACUCCCUUUUGGAGAAUGGUUCACUUGGACUCUUGUUGGAGAAACCUUUUUUGAAAACCAAACAUUCAGAUUAUCUGCUUCCACACUUGUUUUUAUCUCUGUACCAAACUAUAGUAGAGUCUGAGAACAAACAAAAGGAGAAAAGGCAGUAUAUGGAGGGUUUUCUUUAUGUUUCUUUUUGGUUCAUUCAUUUAUGUUCAACUUGCUUUUAAAAAUUGCUUUCUAUUUGGUACGGCUGGAAGAAUGUUGAAUGCUUUAGGAAAGGGCGGGAGGGAUUGUGGAGUGUAUGAGGAACUAUGAGAAGGCCAGGAUAUCCUGAGCACUGACUCAGAGGAAAGAAGUGGCAGGAGAAGAAGCUGUCAGUACAGAGCUUUCACAGAGCUUGAAGGAUUUGGAUCUUUGCCUUAGAAAUUGAAGGCAAGCAGUUGGAGAAUUUUAAACUCCAAAAAAUUUAGUUCAGUUUACAUUUUUAAAAUGCUCUGUAUGAAGAUUGAAUUAGAGGGGAGCUAGACAGGAUCAUGGAAGCUAAUAUUCAAGUGAGUGGUGGUAGUAGCUUAUAACAUUGUGGUGGCAAAAGUGGAGUUCUGGAGGGGUGGGUAGUUUUGAAAAUGGGUUUAGAGGGUACAGUUGACCAAAUUCCAUUAUUGAUUGACUGUAGUGAUGAAAACCAUCACCUCCCUACCUUUAGAAGUUAUAGCUAGUGUUUCUGCUUUGAUUCAUUUUGCCAAAUUAUUUUGUCACCAGUUUGACUUGUUACUUUUCUUGUGGCUUUCCCAUUCCUUCUAUGUCAUAUCUACACUUUGGCUUUUUUCUUUUCAUAAUCUGUUCUCACUUUUAUUUCAGUCUGUCUAGUCACUUUUAAUCCCUAGUUACUACUACAUGUUCCUGAAUGUAUAGUUGAUACUUUAUUAUCUCCUUGUCUCUCCUAUAAGUUUCUGGCACCAAAUAAGGACAAAAUAAAUAGUUGCUGAAAUGGGUGUCAUGAUGACAUGUGAUAAAUAUUGCCUUUUAAUUGAAAAUAAAUAGAAACAUUUAAAUUAAAGGUACUGGCGCUGGGUGGCCGUGACGGCAGCAGCAGCAGAAACAGAUGUUGGCAGCCGGGCUGCCAGGGGCAGUUCCGCUGGAUUUUGCCAUUCGAGACUUCCUUCAGGGCACCCCAGCAAACUAAGAUGGAGUAUGAGUGGAAACCUGACAAGCACAGGCUUCAGCAAAUCCUGCAGCUGUUAAAGGAGUCCCAGUCCCCAGACACCACCAUCCAGAGAACCGUGCAACAAAAACUGGAACAACUUAAUAAAUAUUCAGACUUUAACAACUACUUGAUUUUUGUUCUUACAAAAUUAAAAUCUGAAGAUGAGCCCACAAGAUCACAUCUUGAAGAAUAAUGUGAAAGUACACUUUAAGAACUUCCCAUAUGGUAUAACAGACUUUUAUUAAAAGUGAAUGCUUAAAUAAUAUUGGUGACUCCUCUUCUCUGAUUAGAGCCACCAUUAGUAUUGUGAUCACAACUCUAGCCUCCAAGGGAGAAUUACAGAAUUGGCCUGACCUCUUACCAAAACUCUGUAGCCUGUAUGCUGAAGAUUACAACACCCAUGAGGGAGCAUUUGGCACCCUUCAGAAGAUUUGUGAAGAUUCUGCUGAGAUUUUAGGUAGUUAUGAUUUAGAUCAUCCUUUCAACAUUAUGAUUCCCAAAUUUUUAUAGUUCUUAAAGCACAGUAGUCCAGAAAUAAGGUCUCACGCUGUUGCACGUGUCAAUCAGUUUAUCAUCAAUAGGACCCAAGCUCUAAUGUUGCACAUUGAUUCUUUUAUUGAGAAUCUCUUUGCAUUGGCUGGCGAUGAAGAACCAGAGGCACGGAAACAUGUGUGCCAAGUACUUGUGAUUAUUUGAAGUUCGAAUGGAUCGCCUGUUGCCUCACAUGUAUAAUAUAGUUGAGUAUGUUCUAUGUAAGAUUCAAGAUAUAUGGCCAUGUUUUCACUGAUCAAGGACAAUGGCUCAGCAAUAUGAAGAUGGAAUUGAAGAGGAAGAUGAUGAUGAUGAAAUUGAUGAUGAUGAUACAAUUUCUGACUGGAAUCUAAGAAAAUGUUCUGCUACUGCCCUAGGUGUUCUUGCAAAUGUGUAUCAUGAUGAACUGCUGCCACAUAUUCCACCCCUUUUGAAAGAAUUACUUUUUCGUCAUGAAUGGGUUGUUAAAGAAUCAGGCAUCUUGGUUUUAGGAGCAAUUGCUGAAGGUUGCAUGCAGGGCAUUAUUCCAUACUUGCCCGAGCUUGUUCCUCACUUUAUUCAAUGCCUCACUGAUAAAAUGACUCUUGUACAUUCCAUAACAUGCUGGACUCUUAGCCACUAUGCAUACUGGGUAGUCAGCCAGCCACCAGACAUGUACCUGAAGCCAUUAAUGACAACUGCUAAAGCGCAUCCUGGAUAGCAACAAGAGAGUACAAGAAGCUGCUGACAGUGCCUUUGCUACCCUGGAAGAGGAGGCUUGUACAGAACUUGUUCCUCACUUUGCUUAUAUACUUGAUACCCUGGUCUUUGCAUUUAGUAAAUACCAGCAUAAGAACCUACUCAUGCUUUACAAUGCCUUAGGAACAUUAGCUGAUUCAGUAGGACAUCAUUCAAACAAACUAGAAUAUAUUCAGAUGCUAAUGCCUCCACUGACCCAGAAAUGGAACAUGUUAAAUGAUGAAGAUAAGGAUCUCUUCCCUUUACCUGAGUGCCUAUCUUCAGUUGCCACAGCACUGCAGUCUGGCUUUCUUCAGUACUGUGAACCUGUGUAAGAGACAAUGAGGAAGACUCUUGCACAAGCCGUGCUAAACAAUGCGCAUCCAGAUCAAUAUGAAGCUCCAGAUAAAGAUUUUAUGAUAGUGGCUCUUGAUCUACUGAGUGGCCUGGCUGAAGGACUUGGAGGCAACAUUGAACAGCUGGUAACCUGAAGUAACAUCCUAACACGAAUGUAUCAGUGAAUGCAGGAUAAAAUGCUAGAAGUUCGACAGAGUUCUUUUGCCCCUUUAGGUGACCUCACAAAAGCUUACUUUUAGCAUGUUCAGCCUUGUAUAGCUGAUUUCAUGCCAAUAUUGGGAACCAACCCAAAUCCAGAAUUCUUUUCAGUCUGCAGCAAUGCCACAUGGGCAGUUGGAGAAAUCUCCAUUCAAAUGGGUAUAGAGAUGCGGCCUUAUAUUCCUAUGGUGUUGCACCAGCUUGUAGAAAUCAUUAACAGACCCAACACACCAAAGACAUUGUUAGAGAAUACAGCAAUAACGAUUGGCCGUCUUGGUUACGUGUGUCUUCAAGAGGUGGCCCCGAUGCUACAGCAGUAUGAAGACCCUGGUGCACCUCUCUGAGAAACAUAAGAGACAAUGAGGAAAAGGAUUCAGCAUUCCGUGGAAUUUGUACCAUGAUCAUUGUGAAUCCCAGUGGUGUGAUCCAAGAUUUUAUAUAUUUUUUUGUGUGAUGCUGUUACAUCAUGGAUUAACCCAAAAGAUGAUCUCAGAGACAUGUUCUGUGAGAUCCUUCAUGGAUUUAAAAAUCAAGUUGGCAAUAAAAUUGGAGGCAUUUCUCUAACCAGUUUCCUCUUCUCUUAAAAAGAGCAUCUUGCAGCUGUUUAUGGUGUUUAAUCUAAUACACUUAAGCUGCAGUCCCAAAAUUUGGGGUCCUUCAGUCUUGGAGACUAUGAGGGAGCCUCUGCCCUCAGGGAAAAUGCUACCCUUUACGCAGGAAAGGGUAAACCAGUAGGCAAUACACUACAGUCCCCACCGUACUGAGAGGGGCAGGAGGGAGGUGUUGCCGUCACUGUAUUAAGUCGAUGUUGGAAAAUGUUUUAACAUCUAGAGCCUUUGUGGGUGGAAAUAUGUCUCCAGUUACAACUCCGCACUGGAUUUGAAGAAGAAAAAAAAAAAAUCUGUUCAGUCUACUCACAAAACAGCACAUUGUGGAAUAUUAUGGAGAAUUGUACCAAAACAGGAACCAUAUAAAUGAUGGAUGGGGACAAGAAAGAGGAACAAUUCUACAGCGCACAAUAAAGGAAACCUAAGAAUGGGAGCUACAAAUAGUAAAGAAGCUUUUUUCUUUUUUAAUUUAAAGUUGUUUUUUUUUUUUAAUCCAAGUUUUCCCACAUGAUGGGGCCUUGUUUUGCAUGUUGAUGAAGAACUACACAAACAGAACUAAUAUAGUUAAAAUCAGCUUGCCUUCCUGUAGUAGAAGCAGGUUCUUGGAAGUUACAAUUUAAGGUACCCCAAAAAAGUUGGAAAUAAAACAAAACAAACAUAAACAAUGAAGCACUCUGUGAAAUGCCAAAUGAGUCACUCCUUUUACCUUUUUUAGGGUGGGCACAGAGGGUGAAAUAAAUGGGGUUUGAUAUAUCAAACUAAAGAUGAUAUCUUAAUUUUGCAUUUAACAUUAAUGUAGUGGAUAUAAUUUGAUGGUUAUACUUCAUUAGAUUUAAUUUCUAGGCCAAUAUGUUAUUUUUUAAAGUGUAGUUUAAGGUUCAGGCAUGCAUUCUGGCUCAUAGUGGUUGAAAGUAAUUUAAAUUAGUGGGAAAGUAGCAUGCUUGCAUCAUAUAGAGUGAGAUUGGUAUUCAUUUACCUAUGUUGCAGAAAUUUGCGAUGCAGUUUACCCAUUUAGUGUAACCCUGCAUUUAAAGUUCCCUUUUAAGAUUUGUGGGUUUUAUUUUUAUUAAGAAUAUAGAUAUAUAAAGUACUGUAGUUUACAGCUAGUCCUUGAAAUAUCUUUUUUAGGAUCUGUUAGGAAUAAGAUUGAUACUGCAUUGUGUGUGACCUGCGCAAUGUGGAAAGCUGAUAUACCUGUGCAAACUCUUUGCCUCUGUGCUGUCAGUGUGAUGUGCUUUCCGCAUGGUUAUAUACUACUCAUGAUUUUAUCAAAACUUCUAACAUUUAAAUUACGUGGUAAAAGAUCUGUAAAAGACUACAUAAAUGUUAGUUGGCACAUAAAGACAGUUGUAGAAAUUGAAAAAUGAUUGCGUAUUUCAGUGUUUAUUCCCACUCAACAUACUGCCUUCUAAGCUUCCUUUUUUGUUGUUCAAAGUGUGAUCUUAAAGAUAUGUUUAAGUUAAUGAGUGUAAGGCAGGGUUCCUAUACUGUAUUUUGGUGCAUGUUGGUGGCCCUCUGUGCUGUAGAUAUAUGCACACAGGUUGCAAGUUAAAAGCUAUAGAGUGAAAGUUGAUUUGGAUCCUCUUCAUUUCAUUUGUUUAGCUUUUCUGUUAUUUUUCUCUACUUACAUGUAUUCCUGUGAAUAAAUCCUUGUUAAGUUAACCCUUAAAAAAUUAAAGGUACUGUUUAAUACUUUUCACUUAGUUUUCUAUACACAUUAUGACAUAACCUAUUUACAAAGUAAGUUUCUAAGGUAUCACGUGUCAUAAUAGCAAGCUGCAGGUAACUAAAAAUGUGAUGCUAGCAUAGAUGUGGUAGUGGAGGGACAGCUUGUAUAAAGUUGAGAUGGUCCUAAUGUAGGUAAAUAGAAAUCUCAAACUGAUACUGAUACUUUCAGGUAUGCUUUGACAUUGAGUUACAAAAUUUGAACGAAUAGAAAGGAGAUACUCCACCUCCAGUAGUGAAUUUUCCAUGUACAUUUAAUUAUCAGUAUAGAUCUUUUUGUCCUAUUAAUAUAACUUUUAUGUGUGAAGAAAAGUUUAAAUUUAUGAAAUGUAGUUGUUGCGAUUCUUUAAACAUAAUUAUAUUUUUCUUCAGUAUUAAUGUUUCUUAUAGAUUAAGUAUAUUACAAUAUGAAGUUCAGUUCAACAAUUCUUGAGCUUCUACUGCGCUCCAGGCAUACUCUUAAUUUCUGAGGACACUGAGGUGGAUAAGGCUGUCCUUGUCCUUAAUUAGUUCAAAAUCUUGUUUGAUAGGCAGAUAAAUUAUAAAAACAUGAUCAUAGUAUGAAUUUAUAAAUGAUUGGUAUGCAUGUGCUCUUGAAAUAACAAAAGGAAAGUGUGUGUGUGUGUCUGUGUGUGUGUGUUGGGGGGUCAUUCAGAAGCUUUUGAAGAGGAAGUUACUUCUGAGUUGAGUGUUGAAGAAUGAAUGCAAGUUUUACCAAUUGGCCAAGGAAAUUAGAUGGUGAGCGUUUUAGCAUAGGGAACAGCAUGUACAGCAUGAAUGUAUCGCAAAAUCAUGAUGUGUGAGAGAGGAAUAUCAGCAUUGCUAAGAGUAUAGGGUGUGGGGUAGAGGGUAGUUGGAAAUGACCCCAGGGAAGUAAGGUGGUGGAAGGGAAGGAAAAUUCAGUAUCUCAAACUGAAAGGACAAAUGAUAUUUACAAAUCAGAUUUUUAAAAUAAGAAAGAUACAACAUUAAAUAUAACAUUAAAUAUUAUAAAUACUUCUGUAUCAGAUCUUCAUACACACUUCCCAUCUAUGUAUAAGACCAUGAACAGAGAGAGUACUUCUUUUCUGAACAAUUUUUCUUAUAAAAAUGAAGUUAUUGGAUUAUCUAAACUCCUUCUUGAUCAAAGCCUGUGUUGCAGAGAAAAAGUCAGUGAACUUAAAAGUAAUUUGUUAAUAAACAGAGAAUAGGCGGGAUGUGGUGGAUCAUGCCUGUAAUUCCAACACUUUGUGAGGCUGAGGUGGUAGGAUUGCUUGAGCCCAGGAAUU